UACGGGGCGGGAGCAAGCGUUGUUCGGAUUUACUGGGCGUAAAGGGCGCGUAGGCGGCCAGCACAAGUCAGUUGUGAAAUCUCCGAGCUUAACUCGGAAAGGUCAACUGAUACUGUGCGGCUAGAGUGCAGAAGGGGCAACUGGAAUUCUUGGUGUAGCGGUGAAAUGCGUAGAUAUCAAGAGGAACACCUGCGGCGAAGGCGGGUUGCUGGGCUGACACUGACGCUGAGGCGCGAAAGCUAGGGGAGCGAACGGG
rnacentral:rRNA from 1 species